UAAGCAGUGCACCAUGGUUCUUAAGCAUUUUGGGCAGGCCAGGUCAUCAGGGAAAUUUUGGAAGGGGCUGCUGCAGAAUUGUAUCUUGUGUCCCAGGCCUGUUACCAGCAUGUCAAUCAAUGACAAAAAUACAGACAUUGAAAGUAGACAAAGGCUCUUUCAGAUGAUCACAGAAUACGAAAAAGAACAUAAAAAUAUAGAAAGCUGUUUUAUGUCUGCUCAAUGUAACCACUGGUAUUUGUCAUCAACAUUUUUCUCCAUUAGCGCUGCUCUUAAAAUUACGACCUGUUUGUUCAGAGGAGCAAAAGGAAGAGAAAGCAGGAAGCAAUUUGUGACCUGCUUUAAACAUCCAGCUUGAAAUCAUAGCAAAUCUGGUGCCUUGAUGCACUGAUGCCGGGGUACUUCUGAUGAUGGCUAGCCAUUUAGAAUUUUAAGCCAUGGAGGAUUUUGUGUUUCUCAACCAUGAAGAGGUAUAUUUUAAAGAGCAAUUUUUCUUGCCUGCUGUGAAAGAAACCCCUCCCAGGAAGCAAAUAUCUCCUCCGUCAGAUUGGAAUGCACUCAUCCAGAGCCAACUAAGUUUAAGAAAAUUGCAUUUCAGAGCAUGGUCCAUUAUACCCUGCGAACUUACUCUUCUCCGAGGCCUAUGCAACUUGACUAGGGAUCAAUUGGCACUAAUUCUGGGUAGUGCCUGAUAUUCCUAGUGAGCUCCCCCUUCCUCUUCAUCUAUUUAUUCCUACAGUCAGCAUGACAGUAUAAGUUCCCAGUUUACAGAUGAAUUAAGGGUUUGGAGACUUUCUGGUGUCUUCUUUGGGUUCAAAGACAUUCAGUAACAGAGCUUUAUCCAAAUAAAAUAUUUUACUCCUCUUUAUCUCUCUCCUUGUUUGUUCUUUUGAGCUUUUCCAUACAGCCAAGGGCAGAUAACAUGUACAGGCUCUGAAGCUUGAUACCAUUUUUCCAAAUAGCAAUGCCAAGAUUGCUUUCAAAGGAGCUCCAACUUAAAAAUUUGGAGGUUUAUCUGUGAGAAAGAGGCUACGAUACUACAAGAUAUUUUUAUAUUAUCAAGACAAAUGGUCUCACCCAAAACUACCAUAGCUAAUAAAAAUGCCUUUGAAAAAAUAAUAAAAUGGUACCCAACAAGUACCUGGAAGUGAAGCACCACUUAAGAUGAGCUUACUUUGACAUUUAAUCAUUCCAUUUGACCCACAGAUUACUCUGGGUCUUGCAUGUAAGAAAUGCUGCGGAAGCAGGAAGUGUCUGCUUAAAAUACAGGCCUUUGCGGGUUAGCGAAGGUAAUAGGAAACAAGUUCCACAAGUGACAGGAAAUACCAGGGGAGUGAGAGGCUGGGCACUCUCCUAGUGCUGACUGCUCUGCCAAAGAACACACGGCCACAUCCCAGGCAUCUGUGCACACUUGCUUCCAUUUGAGGGAAGGGGGUGACUUGUGUGGUCAAAGACUAGAGGGCUUCCCUCAGAGAGGAAGAAGAAGAAACCCCACAAGAAAAAUGAGGAAUUUCACUUUCAAGCAUUCUAAAAAUAUCACAGCCUGCGACAAAGGGGUAUCAGGACAAAUGGAGAGUAGAGAUAAAGUAUCCAACUGAGGGUGUUGAGAAGGAUGGUGAUAGUUUAGGAAAGGUAAAAAUAGAACCAUUUCUAAGGCUGCUAGACAGGGUAAUUCUUCCCUCAAAAGCAUACCUAUUGAAGGACACUAAACAUUUUUUUUUCUGGUUAAAAGGAGGGGGUCUGUGCUACUCCAGUAGUAAAAGCAUCUCAGUUCUUGUCAUUGACAUUAAUUGAAACAAACGAUGUCUGCACGUGGGGAAAAAAAAAAAAAA
rnacentral:lncRNA from 1 species